rnacentral:rRNA from 1 species
GAGUUUGAUCAUGGCUCAGAUUGAACGCUGGCGGCAUGCCUUACACAUGCAAGUCGAACGGCAGCAUGAUCUAGCUUGCUAGAUUGAUGGCGAGUGGCGAACGGGUGAGUAAUACAUCGGAACGUGCCCUGUAGUGGGGGAUAACUAGUCGAAAGAUUAGCUAAUACCGCAUACGACCUGAGGGUGAAAGUGGGGGACCGCAAGGCCUCAUGCUAUAGGAGCGGCCGAUGUCUGAUUAGCUAGUUGGUGAGGUAAAGGCUCACCAAGGCGACGAUCAGUAGCUGGUCUGAGAGGACGAUCAGCCACACUGGGACUGAGACACGGCCCAGACUCCUACGGGAGGCAGCAGUGGGGAAUUUUGGACAAUGGGGGCAACCCUGAUCCAGCAAUGCCGCGUGUGUGAAGAAGGCCUUCGGGUUGUAAAGCACUUUUGUCCGGAAAGAAAUCGCACUUACUAAUAUUAGGUGUGGAUGACGGUACCGGAAGAAUAAGGACCGGCUAACUACGUGCCAGCAGCCGCGGUAAUACGUAGGGUCCAAGCGUUAAUCGGAAUUACUGGGCGUAAAGCGUGCGCAGGCGGUUGUGCAAGACCGAUGUGAAAUCCCCGGGCUUAACCUGGGAAUUGCAUUGGUGACUGCACGGCUAGAGUGUGUCAGAGGGGGGUAGAAUUCCACGUGUAGCAGUGAAAUGCGUAGAGAUGUGGAGGAAUACCGAUGGCGAAGGCAGCCCCCUGGGAUAACACUGACGCUCAUGCACGAAAGCGUGGGGAGCAAACAGGAUUAGAUACCCUGGUAGUCCACGCCCUAAACGAUGUCAACUAGUUGUUGGGGAUUCAUUUCCUUAGUAACGUAGCUAACGCGUGAAGUUGACCGCCUGGGGAGUACGGUCGCAAGAUUAAAACUCAAAGGAAUUGACGGGGACCCGCACAAGCGGUGGAUGAUGUGGAUUAAUUCGAUGCAACGCGAAAAACCUUACCUACCCUUGACAUGCCACUAACGAAGCAGAGAUGCAUUAGGUGCUCGAAAGAGAAAGUGGACACAGGUGCUGCAUGGCUGUCGUCAGCUCGUGUCGUGAGAUGUUGGGUUAAGUCCCGCAACGAGCGCAACCCUUGUCUCUAGUUGCUACGAAAGGGCACUCUAGAGAGACUGCCGGUGACAAACCGGAGGAAGGUGGGGAUGACGUCAAGUCCUCAUGGCCCUUAUGGGUAGGGCUUCACACGUCAUACAAUGGUGCAUACAGAGGGUUGCCAAGCCGCGAGGUGGAGCUAAUCCCAGAAAAUGCAUCGUAGUCCGGAUCGUAGUCUGCAACUCGACUACGUGAAGCUGGAAUCGCUAGUAAUCGCGGAUCAGCAUGCCGCGGUGAAUACGU